rnacentral:misc_RNA from 1 species
AAAACCCUCAAGCUCCGCUUGGUGUUGGGCGCCUUGUCCCGCCCCCCUCGGGGGUGCGCGGACUCGCCUCAAAAGUAUUGGCGGCCCGCGUGAACCGGCUUCGAGCGCAGCAGACCAGCGCCUCGCAAGACCCCCCCGCGCGGGCGUCCACGAAGACACCCCCCAAAGU